GUGCUUGCUUCAGCAGCACAUGUAGUAAAAUUAGACCAAUAUGGAAGAGAUUAGCAUGGGUCUUGCACAAGGAUGACUCAUAUUUAAGAAGCAUUCUAUAUUUUA
rnacentral:snRNA from 1 species